rnacentral:rRNA from 1 species
UUUUAGGACUUCAUUGACUUCGGAGGCAUGGGAACUCCGAAGUUAAGCGAGUUGGGGCUAGAGCAAUCCCAGGAUGGGUGACCUACUGGGAAGUUGCUUGUGAGCUCUUAAAA